rnacentral:sRNA from 1 species
UCCCACUCGAAGAUCCAGUAUCUGCUACUGAUGAUAUUACAAUACUUCCAGAGCUUGAGUAUUGUGAAAGUAAAUGCGAUUCCAUAUGGUUAGGAAUUGUUUAUAGCUUUAAGGGCCCUAUAUCCAAGAAAGAUGAAGAACGCCAUUAAAAAUUGGUUGCCGAAAACGAGGAAUCACAACUUUUCUGUGCAAAAUGUAGAAAAUAUGGAUAAAAGGUAUAUGAUCUUGGAGCUGGGAUAGACGAUGAUACCUCUCAAAGAAUUAUCAUUUCAAUUACGUAUUCAUUUUUGCAGGAAAUACUCUUAUUUUAAUUGAAAUUUCUUGUUGCACUCCACUCGUGCCGUGCAUUUUUAAUGAGAGAUUCAACAACCUUUCAGCAUAUUUGCAUAAAAUAUUCAUUUGAAUUAUUAAUAUUGGAAACGUGUUGGUGGGGCGAUUAACAUCAAUUGGAUUAAGUACAUAAAUCAUUGCAUAUAAAAAGGUUUAAGAUCCAAUUUACAAAUUUUUAAGAUAUAAAAAUAGUAAUAUUUUGCAGUCCAGUCUCAAAUUGAAAUCAGUCAACCUAUGGGCAUGGAUGGACGCUUUGUUAGCCCCCAAAGAAUACCCAAAGAUUUUUCAUAUGUGAAAGUCAACGCUAUUCCAUGUGGUUAGGCCUUUUCUAUGGCGCUAAAAGCAUAAUUCUGGUGUUUGGCCUACAUCUAUACAUCUAUAACCCAUUCGCAUAUUUGAAUUGGAAUUUCAAUUGGAUUAACUAAAUAAAUCAUUGAAUAUACGCAAAUAUUUAUAAUGACAAUUAUGAAAAUUUAACUCUGA